rnacentral:rRNA from 1 species
GCUGGCGGCACGCCUAACACAUGCAAGUCGAACGAAGUAGCAAUACUUAGUGGCAGACGGGUGAGUAACAUGUAGGUAUCUGCCCUUUGGCCCGGAAUAACACGAGGAAACUUGUGCUAAUACCGGAUAAGUCUUUACGGAGAAAGCUUUAUGCACCAUUGGAUGAGCCUGCACUUGAUUAGUUUGUUGGUGGGGUAAUGGCCUACCAAGACUUUGAUCAAUAGCUGAUUUGAGAGGAUGAUCAGCCACAUUGGGACUGAGACACGGCCCAAACUCCUACGGGAGGCAGCAGUGGGGAAUCUUGCACAAUGGAGGAAACUCUGAUGCAGCGAUGCCGCGUGAGUGAAGAAGGCCUUUGGGUUGUAAAGCUCUUUCGUCGGGGAAGAAAAUGACUGUACCCGAAUAAGAAGGUCCGGCUAACUUCGUGCCAGCAGCCGCGGUAAUACGAAGGGACCUAGCGUAGUUCGGAAUUACUGGGCUUAAAGAGUUCGUAGGUUGUUGAAAAAGUUGGUGGUGAAAUCCCAGAGCUUAACUCUGGAACUGCCAUCAAAACUUUUCAGCUAGAGUUUGAUAGAGGAAAGCAGAAUUUCUAGUGUAGAGGUGAAAUUCGUAGAUAUUAGAAAGAAUACCAAUUGCGAAGGCAGCUUUCUGGAUCAUUACUGACACUGAGGAACGAAAGCAUGGGUAGCGAAGAGGAUUAGAUACCCUCGUAGUCCAUGCCGUAAACGAUGUGUGUUAGACGUUGGAAAUUUAUUUUCAGUGUCGCAGCGAAAGCGAUAAACACACCGCCUGGGGAGUACGAC